rnacentral:rRNA from 1 species
CCUACGGGAGGCAGCAGUGGGGGAUAUUGCACAAUGGGGGGAACCCUGAUGCAGCGACGCCGCGUGAGCGAAGAAGUACCUCGGUAUGUAAAGCUCUAUCAGCCGGGAAGAAAAUGACGGUACCUGACUACGAAGCCCCGUCUAAAUACGUGCCAGCAGCCGCGGUAAGACGGAAGGUCCGGGCGUUAUCCGGAUUUAUUGGGUUUAAAGGGAGCGUAGGCCGGGUUUUAAGUCAGCUGUGAAAGUCCGCGGCUCAACCGUGGAAUUGCAGUUGAAACUGGAGGCCUUGAGUGCACACAGGGAUGCCGGAAUUCAUGGUGUAGCGGUGAAAUGCUUAGAUAUCAUGAAGAACUCCGAUCGCGAAGGCAAGUGUCCGGGGUGAAACUGACGCUGAGGCUCGAAAGUGCGGGUAUCAAACAGGAUUAGAUACCCCUGUAGUC